AUCUGGCUGAUGAGUCCCAAAUAGAACGAAAAGCGUGUUUUGGAU
rfam:Schistosoma curassoni strain Dakar, Senegal genome assembly, scaffold: SCTD_scaffold0000101